GAUGAACGCUGGCGGCGUGCUUAACACAUGCAAGUCGAACGAAGUGGCGAACGGGUGAGUAACGCGUAAUCAACCUGCCCUUCAGAGGGGGACACCAGUUGGAAACGACUGCUAAUCCCGCAUACUGAAGGAGGGGAUUGCGUCUGAUUGGCUAGCUGGAGGGGUAACGGCCCACCAAGGCGAUGAUCAGUAGCCGGUCUGAGGGGAAGAACGGCCACAUUGGGACUGAGACACCGCCCAGACUCCUACGGGAGGCAGCAGUGGGGAAACUUCCGCAAUGGACGAAAGUCUGACGGAGCAACGCCGCGUGAGUGAUGACGGCCUUCGGGGUGUAAAGCUCUGUUAAGCGGGACGCGGUACCGGAAUAGAAAGCCACGGCUAACUAUGUGCCAGCAGCCGCGGUAAUAC
rnacentral:rRNA from 1 species